AAUGAGCAAGUCUACAUUCCAAAAACCAUAAAAAAAAAUGUGUUGCAACCUUUUAGCUCACGACUGUACACCUAUGUCGCAAUAAAUAAAUUUCCUAGUUAGUUUCCCCAGUUUCCCAUCAGUUGGUCACUCAGUCUAUGACCGGUAUUUAUAGUCGAUUCUUGUAUUUAAAACUUCUUAAGUAGCAUCUUGAGAUGUCAUUAACAAAUCACAGAGCCGUAUUAGCAUCUUAAGACAUUACUUAAGACGGUCUUGAAAUAAGAAUCGUCUAUGAAUAUCGGCCUAUAAUGGCGGCAGAAGAAAACCCCCUGGUGGGCAUGUAUUGGCUAAUCUCUCAUCAGUUGGCUACACUGUCUAUAGUGAGGUGCUAGCGAGCACAUAUUGAUGAUUUCAUAACCUUACUCAUACAUGUCAAUACAUUUUAUAGUUUACUUUGUGUAUAAUAAUUUGUACAAAGUGAAUAGAAAUUUAAGCAACAUCCUUUCUGUUAUUGAGAGAAAAAUUUUGGAGUCUAUCAGAUUAAUUGAAAAUGAAGAAUUUUUUGCAGCUACAGAAAUAAUUUUUGAAAGUAGAAGGAACUUGUUAAAGAUUCGUAAUAUAAUUAGUAAUGAUACAUUCAAUGUUCUAAACAAUAGUUGUGAUAGAUUAAAUCAAAUAUGUUACGAUAAUCUUAAUCACAAUAUUAUCAGUAGCAGGUCUUAUGUUGCACCAUGAUUAAAUGAUUUAGAUGAUAACAGCUUACUUGAAAGAUAAGGGAAAAAUAGUUCAAAGGCAAAAAGUUAGAAAAAUAUUAUCUGAAAUUGACUCUAUUGGUACUGCUCAUAGAUGGAGUAAUGCGAUACAUCGCAGAACAUAUAAAGUGCCAACACCUAAUUCUUUAUGGCAUAUUGAUGCAAACCUAAAAUUUAUUUGGUACAAAAAAAAACUUGAAGUAGUUUGUAUGAAAAACUCAAUUUUGUAUUAAAAUCUCACUUUUUUCUUAGAUGGCGUUUUGCUAUUCACGGAUGUAUAGACGGAUAUUCACGAUUAAUUAUAUAUUUAAAGUGCACUACAUCAAUGACAGCCAGCACAAUAAUUCCAUUUUUUGCUGCUGCCGCAUUAAAAUAUGGCUUACUAUCCAGAGUGAGAUCAAACUUUGGAUAUGAAAACUUAUUUGUUGCAAUGGUUAUGAAUGCCAUUUGUGGACUGAAUAGAAGAGGUCAUUUGACUUCGGUACAUAAUCGUUGUUCGGUACAUAAUCAACAUAUAGAAAGAUUAUGGGUAGACGUAUAUAAGGAAGUGAUCGAUUUUUUUCAUAACAAAUUUACUGUAUUAGAAGAUGAUGAAUUAUUAGAUAUUAAUAACGAAAAACAUAUAUUUGCAUUACAGACAGUUAUUUGACAUAGAUAAAUAGAAAAUUAGAUGAUUUUACACAAGCAUGGAAUUUUCAUAAGUUAAGAACAAAACAUAAUACAACUCCUAGACAACUUUGGUUGUCUGGUAUGCUAGAAAAUGCUAAUAGUGAACAUACCGCUACCCGUGAAAUUUUUCAUAACCAACCUCACUUAUACAACAGAAUUAUUGAUGCUUUUGGAAUAGACGACUCAGAUAACGCGAUUACUUCCCGCGAUGAAGAAAGCAAUUCCAACUUAACAGUUCAAUUAGAACUAACAAUAAGCGAAGAUCAAAUGAAUUACGUAGUCAAUGUGUUAGAUAACACUUCUAUAGAUUAUAGGUCAAAAUAUUUGCAAAUAGUAACAUAUUUAAAUACUUUAAAUGAAAUAAAUGGUUAAAUAAAAAAGUUUAUUAAGUACUUUUCAAUUAUAUAAGCUUUUAAGUAACAAAAUUAAAUCCAUUAUUAUAAAUAUCAUUACAAUAUAAAUUUAAGGUACAUGUAUGUACGUAUUAAAAAAGUAUAAUACGUAAAUUUAAUAUUAUAUAAUGUGUUUUAAGAGAUUGUAACAUAAACUUAAUAUUAUAACAUAAACUUAAUAUUAUAACAUAAACUAGUUAGGAAUGAUAGUAUUUGUGAAAAUCUUGUGUUAAACUUUAUAUAAGAAAUAAAAUAUUGAAUAUUAUUCAA